GGGAUUGUGGGGCCGAAUGAGAGAGUCCACGAGCUGCUCCCAGUGGGAACUGGACAGGAGGGAAGGACCAGCUCGCAUGAGGAAACGAAUCAGACGGCUGUGUGCAUGGGAGACCCUGAACCUAGGCAGCUGCAAGGUAGGUGCUGGGGAUGGUGGGAAAUAUGCAGGGAAGUGGCCGUGUGUUCUCCACCCCUCCCCUCACCUGACUGAAUGCACCUAGAUAAGUCAGGAGAAACUUCAAGCUUGAUUAUUGAAGUAAUUUGGAAAA
rnacentral:lncRNA from 1 species